AUGUUAAAAAUUUGGCAUGAUACCAGGAAUAUAAACAAAAAUAUGAGGGUUUCAAACAGGGGAUGGAGGGAUGUUGAUGAGUCCAGAAAUAAGAUCGUCACUUCUUGCAACGUCAUAUUCUAUGACUUGCGAUUUCCAUUCCACUAUACGAAGAUCUUCAGUUCUUGCAAAGUUAUAUUCUAUGACUUGCGAUUUCCAUUCCAAAAUACGGCAACGGCUAACACGUCACCUAUUCAUAACCUCCUAUCUACCUUCGCGGGCCAUUCAUAUUGGAAUCAGUUUCUCCUUCACCUGAAUCUAGAAGGUCAAUCGGCAAAUACUUCUCAGCUUAUCUCCAAUCCAUGA